rnacentral:rRNA from 1 species
AUUGAACGCUGGCGGCAUGCCUUACACAUGCAAGUCGAACGGCAGCACGGGGCAACCUGGUGGCGAGUGGCGAACGGGUGAGUAAUGCAUCGGAACGUACCUUUCAGUGGGGGAUAACGUAGCGAAAGUUACGCUAAUACCGCAUAUUCUGUGCGCAGGAAAGCAGGGGAUCGUAAGACCUUGCGCUGAUUGAGCGGCUGAUGUCAGAUUAGCUAGUUGGUGAGGUAAAGGCUCACCAAGGCGACGAUCUGUAGCGGGUCUGAGAGGAUGAUCCGCCACACUGGAACUGAGACACGGUCCAGACUCCUACGGGAGGCAGCAGUGGGGAAUUUUGGACAAUGGGGGCAACCCUGAUCCAGCCAUGCCGCGUGAGUGAAGAAGGCCUUCGGGUUGUAAAGCUCUUUCGGCCGGGAAGAAAUCGCACGGGCUAAUACCCUGUGUGGAUGACGGUACCGGAAUAAGAAGCACCGGCUAACUACGUGCCAGCCGCCGCGGUAACAC